GUCGAGCGGACAGAUGGGAGCUUGCUCCCUGAUGUUAGCGGCGGACGGGUGAGUAACACGUGGGUAACCUGCCUGUAAGACUGGGAUAACUCCGGGAAACCGGGGCUAAUACCGGAUGCUUGUUUGAACCGCAUGGUUCAAACAUAAAAGGUGGCUUCGGCUACCACUUACAGAUGGACCCGCGGCGCAUUAGCUAGUUGGUGAGGUAAUGGCUCACCAAGGCAACGAUGCGUAGCCGACCUGAGAGGGUGAUCGGCCACACUGGGACUGAGACACGGCCCAGACUCCUACGGGAGGCAGCAGUAGGGAAUCUUCCGCAAUGGACGAAAGUCUGACGGAGCAACGCCGCGUGAGUGAUGAAGGUUUUCGGAUCGUAAAGCUCUGUUGUUAGGGAAGAACAAGUACCGUUCGAAUAGGGCGGUACCUUGACGGUACCUAACCAGAAAGCCACGGCUAACUACGUGCCAGCAGCCGCGGUAAUACGUAGGUGGCAAGCGUUGUCCGGAAUUAUUGGGCGUAAAGGGCUCGCAGGCGGUUUCUUAAGUCUGAUGUGAAAGCCCCCGGCUCAACCGGGGAGGGUCAUUGGAACUGGGGAACUUGAGUGCAGAAGAGGAGAGUGGAAUUCCACGUGUAGCGGUGAAAUGCGUAGAGAUGUGGAGGAACACCAGUGGCGAAGGCGACUCUCUGGUCUGUAACUGACGCUGAGGAGCGAAAGCGUGGGGAGCGAACAGGAUUAGAUACCCUGGUAGUCCACGCCGUAAACGAUGAGUGCUAAGUGUUAAGGGGGUUUCCGCCCCUUAGUGCUGCAGCUAACGCAUUAAGCACUCCGCCUGGGGGAGUACGGUCGCAAGACUGAAACUCAAAGGAAUUUGACGGGGGCCCGCACAA
rnacentral:rRNA from 1 species